rnacentral:rRNA from 1 species
UACGUAGGGUGCAAGCGUUGCCCGGAUUUAUUGGGCGUAAAGGGCGCGUAGGCGGCGCACCAAGUCAUGCGUGAAAGCUCCCGGCUCAACUGGGAGGGGUCGUGUGAGACUGGUGGGCUCGAGCAAGGUAGGGGGCAGUGGAAUUCCCGGUGUAGUGGUGGAAUGCGUAGAGAUCGGGAGGAACACCAGUGGCGAAGGCGGCUGCCUGGACCUUUGCUGACGCUGAGGCGCGAAGGCGUGGGGAGCGAUCCGG